AAAUAAUGAGGAGAUGACAAGUUCACACAAAUAAUGAGGAGAUGACCAUUUUCAUAACAUCGCACAGUUCACAACCACACAAACAUGAAGUUACAUCAACAAUGAUUCAACAAGACUUCAACCCUUUCUCAACACAACACACAUAAACAAUUAAUCACAUAGACUUUUGUUAUCCCAAUUUUUUCAUCAUUAGAAUUAAUAAAUGUGGACAAGUCAACCCAUCACCAAUCCCGUUACUCCCAAACAUAUACCACAAGGAAAUACACGCAUUUCCUAC
rnacentral:lncRNA from 1 species